rnacentral:rRNA from 1 species
GAUCAUGGCUCAGAACGAACGCUGGCGGCGCGUUUAAGCAUGCAAGUCGAGCGGCAAGGGCCUUCGGGCCCCUAGAGCGGCGGACGGGUGAGUAACACGUGGACAAUCUGCCCCCCGGCCCGGGAUAGCCCAGGGAAACCUGGAUUAAUACCGGAUGAGACGGGACCCGCGAUGGCGGGAUCCGGGAAAGGCGCUGCGGCGCCGCCGGGGGAUGAGUCUGCGUCCCAUUAGCUGGACGGCGGGGUAACGGCCCACCGUGGCGACGAUGGGUAGCCGGCCUGAGAGGGUGGACGGCCACAUUGGAACUGAGACACGGUCCAGACUCCUACGGGAGGCAGCAGCUAAGAAUCUUCCGCAAUGGGCGAAAGCCUGACGGAGCCGACGCCGCGUGAACGAAGAAGGCCGUGAGGUUGUAAAGUUCUUUUCGGGAGGGGGAACAACCGUGGCAGGGAAUGGCCGCGGGAUGACGUGAAUCCCGGAAUAAGCCCCGGCUAACUACGUGCCAGCCGCCGC